rnacentral:SRP_RNA from 1 species
UCGUACAGCCGGGGCGGUAGCGGUGCCCUGUACUUGCAAUCCGCUAUAGCAAGGGUUAUGUCUUUUUUGAGGGUUACACUUUCCGUGUAGUACCGUCAUAUCAAUGUUGAUGGUCGGGUCUUGCGCAAUAUGCGUUUGUGAACCUGGUCAGGUGAGGAAUCAAGCAGCCAUAAGCAAAGUCUGCAUAUGUGCCGCAAGAGUGCCCGGCCUGAGUUGUAUAUGGCGGCAAACGUACGGGAAGUCGGAUUCGAUUCAAAGACGUACGA